rnacentral:pre_miRNA from 1 species
GGUAAGGGACAGAUACAAAGCCCCCUGAAGUCAAUGGGAGUCUUUCUAUUGACUUCAGUGGGCUUUGGAUCAGGUCCGCAGGUCC